rnacentral:lncRNA from 1 species
CAGGAACUCCUUAUGGAAUGGAAGCACAUCCAGGCUGAAGGCCCCUGUGUUCCAGAUGCUGUGUGAGUGUUGACCUGCCAGGCGACUCCACGAUGGCUUCCGUCCUCAGGUUCACCAUCAACUAAGACAGACUGAAGAUUUCCAGAGACUUGGACCACUGCUCCCUAGUUCCAGGGGGUGGCACAGGAGCCAAAAACGAGACCUGAGGCUGAAGCCCAACAGAAGAUGAAACUUGGGAGCAGCCUCAGCUUCGGGAAUCCUCACUUCCUGGCACAGCAGGUUUGGGUGCCACAGAGCCCAGGGCUAGACACCUGCCAGCAGUCCAUCAGUCACAGUCUCAGAUGAGUGGCAUCAAGGUGGAGCCCACUGAGGUGAAGGAAGGAGCUGUGAGGGACACCUGCAUCCUGCUGCAGAAAUGUCUGCCCCCCGCCUUGUCCCACCGCAGCUCUAUCUCACAGUUGGAGAAGCAGAAGCAAAGCAACCUGUCCUGGACCAUGCAGCCUGGUCCUCUGUUUCCAGAGCCAGAGGUCUUUGUGCUCUGAAACAAAGACAGUGACCCCAUUAACCCACUGGCACUUACUGUGUGCCAGGCACUCAGCCUGUGUUGUCUCAUUGCAGCACAGAGCAGCCCUGGGAAUGGAAGCAGUGUCAUCAUUCCCAUUUUUCAGGUGAGGCACAGGCUCAGAAAGGUCAAGAAACUUGCUCACGGUCUCACAGCUGGUGAGUAGGUUGUCAGACUCCAAAGAUGUGUGCUGCUAACCCUGCCCAAAGGGACUUCAUCCUCCUCCCUCCUUCCCAGGCAGUUCUCCCAACCACCCACCAACAGGCAACGUAGGUGUGAUUGCCUUCAAAGUUUUCUACUUGCCUUCAAGCUUGAAGCACUGGAGACUGAGGGAAGAGAGCACUGGAAGUGGAGGAAGAAAAAAGAGCUGUUCCCUCCAAGGUUGUUCCCUUGGGCCUGACUCGACUGGAAGAAGCAGGGUGUAUAUGUGUGUGUGUGUGUAAUUGACUUUGUGACCAUGAAACUGAGUUAAUACUCUUCUGUCUUUGCCUGUUUCUUCUUGUACAUCACCUAGAGGAAUACCCAUUAAUGUUUAGAGGCAGAGAACAAUAGAAAAUAGCACUGUUCAAGGACCAAAAAUUUAAAAAGACUGCUGACAUACAGCAUAGAAUGUGAAAGUCCCUGAUAAUCUUAUCCCUAGGGAUAACCACUUGCCAUUUUUUUACAAUUUCAAUUUUUUAUGAUUAUAAAAGUCAUACACAUUUAAAAAUACUUCAAAAUAAAUACAAAAUAAAAAUAAAUGCUUCAUUGCUUAGGUUACCUUGGUACAUGCAAGGUCUGAGACCACAUCCAUCAAUGCAGUUUGCUGCGUGGAUUACCAGAUCUCUCCAACAUUGACCUCAAUUUUUUACUCUGAGAGCAAACAGAAUGGGCAAGGGCUGACCUGAAAUCCUUUUGAAACACAAGCUGGAUCCUAGGGCUUUGACCUCCACUGCUCACUGCCACAUGGGAUCCGUCUCUGUGCCCCACUCUGCCCCAGCCCCACUGGCCUUCCUGCUGCUGCUCACACAGGCCUACUCUUAAGGCCUUUGCAUACUCUGUUCCCUGCAGAGGCCUCUGCCUCUGAACAAAUGUGGGACCCAUCUCUGCCAAGGCUGGGAAGCAAACAGCCCCCACUUUGCCUUGUCAGCCUGUGUUUGCACCAUUCCUGUGGUGGCCUCUCCCAGCUGCUUUCACGUGGGAUUUGAGCUCUGGGAAGCUGGAAGUUUGUGGAGUCCACUUCCCUCAUUUUGCAUAUAUGGAUGAUAAAGCCCACAGGCAAGGGCUCUGACAAAAGGAAAGAUUCCUUCCAUUUGGCAUUGUGAUGCAGAGGCUGUCACAGACAAGCCUGGGAAUUUGGGAUACAUCUUGCUGAGCCUAGAGACAGAAAAGAGCUUCUAGGCUGCCUUCCCUGAGCCCCGGGCCAGGCCCCUCCAGGACACACUUGCAUGGCACCCUGUUCUUUAAAACACUGCACACCAACGACUAUGCAAAGGAUUAACUGACUUCUCAAUAUUCUUGUUUUCUACCGAGUGAUAAGCUUCAGAAGGACAAGGUAUGAGUCCGUUUUGCUCUUUUGCCUUCCCCAGCACAUGGCACAAUGCCCAGCACAUAGUGUUUUGAGAGACAGCUGACUGGCUGUCUCAUACAAGGCCCUGCUCUGUUGGGCACAAGGGCUGCUUAACACAUUCCUAUGCUACAAAAGACAGUGCUCCUCUCCAGGAACCACCAAAUAAAUUCAGAUACUAAUGCCAAAAAGAAGGCAGCAUCAGCUUGGGAAAAGAGUGCCUUUAAGGCACUGUUUCUCUCUAUGAAGGCAGUGUGGAAUGAUAGGGAUGAUCUAGGACCUAGAGGAGAGACCUUAAGUCUUACUUGCAGCCAAAAGCCUUCAAACCUGAGCUAGCCAGAACUGUUACAUCAGAAUUCUCACCCAUGACAAGAAGCCUGGAGGGAGUCCAGGGUUGAUGGAUUGACUUAAGGUGUCAUCAAAAGCUUAGACUUUACCCUUCUGCUGCACCACCCUUAUUGCCUUGUUGUCACAAGAGGACUACUGCUGUUCAAGUCAUCACUUCCACAUUCCAGAAGGAAGAAAGGAGAGGUAGAGGGCCAGAAGUAUCCCCUCCUUUUAUCAGGAGCCAUUAACUUUCCCAGAAACUUCCAUGUCCACCCAGCAGACCUCCACUUACAUCUCACUAGGCAGAACUCCUAUCACUUGGCCACCCCAGCAGUCAGGGAAGCUGGAAGGGUGAGCAUUCAGCUAUAGAGAGUGGAAGCACAAGCAGCAAGGGAAGAACAGGUCAGUAAUUGCUGUAGAGUUUCCUGCCCAGCAGCAUCUGCCAAAACUAGGUAAAUUAUUUUUUAACAUAAUAGUAUUUUUGUGGAUUUUCUUACAAAAGCAAUGCAUAUAUAUUGUUACUUUGAAAAAUAAAGAUUUUAAAUCUUCAACAAGCCCAUUACUCAGGAGUGAUGACUGUUAUUCUUGGUUUAUUAGCUUUCUAGAUCUUUGUAUUUUUUUUAACGUGGGUAGAACCACAAUAUGGGUUGCUCUGAAAUUAGCCUUUACACUUGGCAUUGUGAAAAAUCUUUCCAAAUCAUUAAAUGUUCUCUGCAGAAUUA